CGCGCUGUAAAAAGUAACAACAUUGCUAACAGCAGCCACUGAAAUGGAUGCACAUAUAUAAAGAUAUAUUGUGGUGGAUGAGAGGCAUCAAAUCUUGUAUGGAGGCCCAGAGUCCCUGACAACGUCCUUGAUCUCAGCCUGCAGAACAUGAGCCAGUGUUCACAGAAGAUUUUGGUGUUUGCACCGAUGGUGACUGUAAGCAAACGCUAAGCCCAGAGAGACUGACCUCCCUCAAAGUGACGCCUGAGAGAGAACAAGAGGAGGAGGACUACUGGGAAAUAUCUACCUGCACUUACCAGGACUCACAGCAAAGCUUGGGGAUCUUACCAUGGCUGAUUUGAACAGAGGAGAAGGAUUGAUCUGCAGCAGCAGCAGACAAG